rnacentral:lncRNA from 1 species
AAAUUAUUGGUAUUCACUAUGCACUAUACCACUCCAAAAGUAUAUUUCUUUCCCUCUACAUGCCACUCCAUUGCCGUGAAUAAUUGUGGGAUCAAUGAAACGAUUAUUUAGUUCCUAAAAACAAGCACACGUUGGCUACAUAUUCCAACUUCCAAGUCUCUCACAAUCAGUUGUCUUCUCACUAAUUGACUACACGAGCCACUCUUCUUUAGCAUUUUAUCUUUCACGUAGACAAACCUUCAUUUUCCAAAUCUCAAACAUUCCAUUAUUACUUUUAAUCCUCGUCCACUCAAAUUUAGUUCUUCUAAUAGAUGAUCAUGAUUUUCCCUCCUUAGUUUCUUAACAUCACAAAGUCUCCCAUCUAUAUGACCUCACGCAAAUCAUCCCAUAUCACAAUGCUCUCUUAUUAUUUCCCAGUCUUUGAGCAUACAUCUCCAACGUUCCAUUGAUUCAUAUGUUGUAUACAAAUAUUUUUCAAGUUUAUCAAUCAAUUCCUACAGUCUAUCCCCUCACAAUAUUCAUCAUGUUCCCAAUAUAUGGUUAUUCGUUUUCAACGGUGUAAUCUUCAAAACAAAGUCUAGAGCGAGAUAAAUCAUGCAUGCAUUGAACCUGCGAAUUUAGAGAACCUUAUAGUUCUUUGAUUGGGAGGAAAGCGUACAAGGUAAGAGCUUUUUCCGCACACCAUCAUACUAGGCGGAUAAGUGUUGUAAAAUGAUAGUAGAAUUCUUGUCCAUUAAAAAGAGUUAGUUUUCUAUGUAUUAUUCUAUUUAAUGACUUUAUGUAAUUUAUAUGUAUGACUUCUUAUGGUGAUUGAAUAUUGUGUUGAUUGUUGUGAGAAUUUGAUCAUUAGAUUUGGCACGUUGAUAACUAUAUAUGAUUCUAAAAAUAGCUUGUGGUUCAUAAAAUAUUAGAGCUUGGUGGGUUGCAUUUCAUGAUUUUAUUUUUGGUUUUGUUGAUGACAUUGAGUUGCGUAACAUAGCAUGAAGUAUUUGGGCUAUUAUCGCUAAGUGAUAGGCCUUGCGGAGACCAUUUAGUGGUCUAAUUUUUAUUGGGCUAAUGUCACUGGGUGGUGGGCCUUGCAAGAACCAUUGAGUGGUUCAUUCUUCCACUAGUUGUGGAUGUGUGCGUUAACACGACGAUAUCCGGAUCACUUGAGUCUUGCAUAUCAUCCACUUCAUGCAUUAAGUUUUACAAAAUAGUGUUGUGUACUUUAUUCUUUUGGUCAUUUCUAAUCCUUUUUAGUUGAUGAGUACUUUUAUUAUUAUUUGAUGGCAUUUUUAUGAGUUUAGGUGAUCUCAUGUGGAACCGGAAAUUGACCAUUACAUUAAUAUAAUUUUGUAGGUACCAUAGAUGAAAUAUGAAGCUUGAUGUGUGAUGAAACGUUUACGGGGCAAAUUAGGUUUUAAAAUGAAGAAGAAAACUACUUUUUAUUUAGUUGUAAUUGUAAUUUAAAUAUUUUUAAAAUAUACUAUAGAGUUUAUAUUUAUUCCAUUAAGAAUUAGAGUAAACAAAUAUAUGUUCUUAUUUUAAAAAAAUAAAAAACAUUUUUAAGUAAUGUGCUUGAUAAAAUUUGGGGCGUUAUAUCAAGCAUAAUAUCAUCACCCUCAAAUAGAUUCUUCAUACAUACACUCAUUUCCGAGUCUUUUGCACCGCCAAAUGGAAAAGGCAUAGAGGGACUUGACAACGUUUGGUUUUAAAUAUGACAUUCCAACGCCGGUGACAUC